rnacentral:rRNA from 1 species
UUGAACGCUGGCGGCAUGCUUUACACAUGCAAGUCGAACGGCAGCGCGGGGCAACCUGGCGGCGAGUGGCGAACGGGUGAGUAAUACAUCGGAACGUACCCAGAAGUGGGGGAUAACGUAGCGAAAGUUACGCUAAUACCGCAUACGUUCUACGGAAGAAAGUGGGGGACCUUCGGGCCUCAUGCUUUUGGAGCGGCCGAUGUCUGAUUAGCUAGUUGGUGAGGUAAAGGCUCACCAAGGCGACGAUCAGUAGCUGGUCUGAGAGGACGACCAGCCACACUGGGACUGAGACACGGCCCAGACUCCUACGGGAGGCAGCAGUGGGGAAUUUUGGACAAUGGGCGCAAGCCUGAUCCAGCAAUGCCGCGUGAGUGAAGAAGGCCUUCGGGUUGUAAAGCUCUUUUGUCAGGGAAGAAACGGCUGAGGAUAAUACCUUCGGCUAAUGACGGUACCUGAAGAAUAAGCACCGGCUAACUACGUG